CCCAUGUGUCUCAGUUGGUAGAGAAAGGUGCUUGCAAUGCCAUGGUUGUGGGUUUGAGUCCCAUUGGGA
rnacentral:tRNA from 1 species